rnacentral:rRNA from 1 species
AUACGGAGGAUGCGAGCGUUAUCCGGAUUUAUUGGGUUUAAAGGGUGCGUAGGCUGUGCGUUAAGUCAGGGGUGAAAUGCCGUCGCUCAACGACGGAGCUGCCCUUGAUACUGGCGUGCUGGAGUACGGAUGCCGUUGGAGGAAUGAGUGGUGGAGCGGUGAAAUGCUUAGAUAUCACUCAGAACACCGAUUGCGAAGGCAUCUGACGAAUCCGUCACUGACGCUGAGGCACUAAAGCGUGGGGAUAGAACAGGAUUAGAUACCCUGGUAUUCCACGCCGUAAACGAUGAUGACUAACCGUCGGCGAUAGACAGCCGGUGGCCAAGCGAAAGCGAUAAGUCAUCCACCUGGGGAGUACGUCGGCAACGAUGAAACUCAAAGGAAUUGACGGGG